rnacentral:rRNA from 1 species
GUUGACCUCGGAUCAGGUAGGGAUACCCGCUGAACUUAAGCAUAUCAUUAAGCGGAGGAA